rnacentral:rRNA from 1 species
AUUGAACGCUGGCGGAAUGCUUUACACAUGCAAGUCGAACGGCAGCACGGGGGCAACCCUGGUGGCGAGUGGCGAACGGGUGAGUAAUACAUCGGAACGUGCCCAGUCGUGGGGGAUAACGUAGCGAAAGGUACGCUAAUACCGCAUACGAUCUACGGAUGAAAGCGGGGGACCGUAAGGCCUCGCGCGAUUGGAGCGGCCGAUGUCAGAUUAGGUAGUUGGUGAGGUAAAGGCUCACCAAGCCGACGAUCUGUAGCUGGUCUGAGAGGACGACCAGCCACACUGGGACUGAGACACGGCCCAGACUCCUACGGGAGGCAGCAGUGGGGAAUUUUGGACAAUGGGCGCAAGCCUGAUCCAGCCAUUCCGCGUGCAGGACGAAGGCCUUCGGGUUGUAAACUGCUUUUGUACGGAACGAAAAGGCUCUGGUUAAUACCUGGGGCUCAUGACGGUACCGUAAGAAUAAGCACCGGCUAACUACGUGCCAGCAGCCGCCGUA